rnacentral:rRNA from 1 species
GACGAACGCUGGCGGCGUGCUUAACACAUGCAAGUCGAACGGAAAGGCCCUGCUUUUGUGGGGUGCUCGAGUGGCGAACGGGUGAGUAACACGUGAGUAACCUGCCCUUGACUUUGGGAUAACUUCAGGAAACUGGGGCUAAUACCGGAUAGGAGCUCCUGCUGCAUGGUGGGGGUUGGAAAGUUUCGGCGGUUGGGGAUGGACUCGCGGCUUAUCAGCUUGUUGGUGGGGUAGGGGCUUACCAAGGCUUUGACGGGUAGCCGGCCUGAGAGGGUGACCGGCCACCUUGGGACUGAGAUACGGCCCAGACUCCUACGGGAGGCAGCAGUGGGGAAUAUUGCACAAUGGGCGGAAGCCUGAUGCAGCAACGCCGCGUGCGGGAUGACGGCCUUCGGGUUGUAAACCGCUUUCGCCUGUGACGAAGCGUGAGUGACGGUAAUGGGUAAAGAAGCACCGGCUAACUACGUG